rnacentral:lncRNA from 1 species
GAUGAAGUAUUAUUUUUCUGGGCUGGCUUGGAAGCAAUUGGAGCCUUUUGUGAAGUGUCUUUGCGUUUCUUUGGAUCAUAACUUGCCCCAACCCUUUCUCGAAGUUCAGACGAGGUUUCCUUAGCAGAUGAAUAGGUUCAUCUCUUUGUUUGCUCAAAUGAACAAAUCCUUCUGCUGCCUCACCAAAGCCACUUCCCCCUAACUUUAUGCCACUUUCUUCAACAACUCUACAUAUAGCAUGAACCACUUCCUUCCCAUUUCCCCUCUCUUCACCACUUUCACCCUCUCUCUCUCUUUUCCUUUCUG